rnacentral:lncRNA from 10 species
CCAACUUGUGAUGUUUUCUUUCAGGUCGUUCUCUAUGUACAGAUUUAUCAAUUCAUAUAAAACCCCUGAUAUUUCUUUAUUUCCUCACUCCUUCCAUGAGAGGUAAAAUGGCUCCUUUUUCCCUUUUUCUUUGUAGCUGGUUCACCAGCAGAGCACGUUUCUGCCUUCAACUGGGCAAUAAUUCAAAUUCUGGAGUUUAACAUUAGAAAGACUAGCUGCCCUGAGAUAAGUUCCAUUCUGGAACAGAAAGCUAGUGACCUAAUUUUUACCAGUGCAAGUCUGUGAAAUUGUUUCCUGUUUCUGUAUUACAAACAACCUCAAAACGUAAUGGAUUGGCAGAAGUCAAUUGGAAGAUUCUUUUGCUCCACAUGGUGUAACAGAGUUACUAAUGUGCCUGCAUUUAGCUAGGAGUUUGGCAGGAGGUAGAAAUUCCAAAGGUGGCUUUUUAUUCUUUGGAGUCCAUCUUCAGAUGACUUCUCUUCAUUCAGUAGUCUAACCUGAGCUUCUUUACGGUAUGGUUAACAGAUUCCAAGGAGGAGCAUUCCAAGAGACAAGGAUGCAAGAACACAAAGAGAAAAAUACAAUGUGUAAAUAAACUUUUGCUUUUUCAUCAUAUGUCUCAUUGGCCAAAGCAAGUCAUAUGUCCAAGUUCAGAGUCAAUGAAGAAAGUGACUACACAAGGGCAUGAAUACCAGGAGAAGAGAUUUAUUGCAGGCCACUAUCCACCACAGGAAUGCUUAGCAGAGGUUUAAGGGAAAGAAAUUUUCUUAUUUUUAACUAUUCAAAUAUAUUUUCUUUCUUCCUCUAUUCAAUAUGGUAUACGAAUGGGAAGCCUGGAUCUGCUUUAGCCAUUUUUGCACAAUGAUGAAAAUCAGGCUAAGGAUAAAGUCAACUAACAGAGUAGGCUAGGCUAAGGAUAAAGUCAACAAACAGUGGGACACAAAUGAAGCAAUCACAGAGAAACAGACCUUAGGCCACAGGAUUAAGUCAACCUGAAAUAUGUUUUAUUUCUGGACUUCCAAAUAAGUUAAUUAAAAGCAUUCUAACUAUACAGCAAGUGAAUUCCAUUACUGCAUAUUUAACAUGCAAAAGAUGUCUGUUGACAGAGUAUAACUUAAAGUGCCAUUAUGAAACAAAUCAUAAGAACUAUGAUAGAAACAUGGAAGUGUUUAAUAAUAAAAAUAAUAAACUAAAAAAAAAGAACUGAAAUGUCAACAGUGUUUGCUUUGGAAAGCAAAUUGGUGAUGCUAUUAGGAAGUACAGUUAUUUAUAAAGUAAAAAAAAAAAAAUUGCUUGUGCAGGAAGCCCUUUUAGAUACAGCAUAUAUAGAGUUUGAGGUGGAGUCAGAAGGCCAUUUAGAAGCCUCCAUCUGGCCAGGCCUGAUGACUCACACCUGUAAUCCCAGCACUUUGGGGGACUGAGUGGGGCAGAUCACUUGAGGUCAGGAGUUAGAGACCAGCCUGGCCAACGUGGUGAAACACUGUCUCUACUAAAAAUACAAAAAAUAGCCCAGCGUGGUGGUGCGUGCCUGUAAUCCCCACUACUCAGGAGGCUGAGGCAGGAGAAUUAUUGCUUGAACCUAGGAGGCAGAGG